GUGGUGGCUCAGUGGUACAGCACUCGCCUGGCAUGUGCAAAGCCCUGGGUUCCAUCCUCAGCACCACA
rnacentral:tRNA from 1 species